AGCCUCUGUCAUCCCCUCAAUUGCGGAUAAAUCUUUCGCCUUUUACUAAAGAUUUCCAUGUGGGGGUGCAAUACAAUGAGUCUAUAUGGACAUUUUUGCAGCGCCUCGUUCUCGGGGCGG
rfam:Schistocephalus solidus strain NST_G2 genome assembly, scaffold: SSLN_scaffold0001863